rnacentral:rRNA from 1 species
UGGGGAAUAUUGGACAAUGGGCGCAAGCCUGAUCCAGCAACGCCGCGUGGAGGACGAAGGUCUUCGGAUCGUAAACUCCUGUCAGGCGGGACGAAGGCUUCCGGGCAAAUAGUCUGGAAGCUUGACGGUACUGCCAGAGGAAGCCCCGGCUAACUCCGUGCCAGCAGCCGCGGUAAUACGGAGGGUGCAAGCGUUAUCCGGAUUCACUGGGUUUAAAGGGUGCGUAGGAGGGCAGGUAAGUCAGUGGUGAAAUCUCCGAGCUUAACUCGGAAACUGCCGUUGAUACUAUCUGUCUUGAAUACCGUGGAGGUGAGCGGAAUAUGUCAUGUAGCGGUGAAAUGCUUAGAUAUGACAUAGAACACCAAUUGCGAAGGCAGCUCACUACACGAGCAUUGACUCUGAGGCACGAAAGCGUGGGGAUCAAA